CAGCAGCCGCGGUAAUACGUAGGGUGCAAGCGUUAAUCGGAAUUACUGGGCGUAAAGCGUGCGCAGGCGGUUAUAUAAGACAGAUGUGAAAUCCCCGGGCUCAACCUGGGAACUGCAUUUGUGACUGUAUAGCUAGAGUACGGCAGAGGGGGAUGAAAUUCCGCGUGUAGCAGUGAAAUGCGUAGAUAUGCGGAGGAACACCGAUGGCGAAGGCAAUCCCCUGGGCCUGUACUGACGCUCAUGCACGAAAGCGUGGGGAGCAAACAGGAUUAGAUACCCCUGUAGUCCCUGUCUCUUAUAA
rnacentral:rRNA from 1 species